GACGAACGCUGGCGGCGUGGAUUAGGCAUGCAAGUCGAACGGUAGGAUACCUUCGGGUAUCUGAGAGUGGCGAACGGGUGAGUAACACGUAGGUGAUCUACCCUCAAGAUUGGGACAACCCAGGGAAACUUGGGCUAAUACCGGAUGAAAGCAGCAGUGAUGUUGUUUGAAAGGUGGCGUAAGCUGCCGUUUGGGGAUGAGCCUGCGCUCUAUUAGUUAGUUGGCGGGGUAAAGGCCCACCAAGGCGAUGAUAGAUAGGCGGCCUUAACGGGUGGUCGCCCACACUGGGAUUGAGAUACGGCCCAGACUCCUACGGGAGGCAGCAGUCGAGAAUAGUCUACAAUGGCCGAAAGGCUGAUAGUGCGACGCCGCGUGAACGAAGAAGCCCUUCGGGUGUAAGUUCUUUUAUAUGUGAGCAGUGCUUCUUAUAUUAACAGUAUGGGAGAGAGAUAUUAGCAUAUGAAUAAGCAACGGCUAACUCCGUGCCAGCAGCCGAC
rnacentral:rRNA from 1 species